UAUGUGAUCGUCUCUCGCAUAUCAAUAAGCGGAGGAAAAGAAACUAACAAGGAUUCCCCUAGUAACGGCGAGCUGAAGCGGGAAGAGCUCAAAUUUGAAAUCUUAAAGGGUUUCCCUUUACGAAUUGUAGUUUAAAGAAGUGUUUUCUGUUGAGGUUUUGGUAAAAGUUCUUUGGAAUAGGACAUCAUAGAGGGUGAGAAUCCCGUAUUUGACCUUCACUUUCAACUUUGUGAUACACUUUCAAAGAGUCGGAUUGUUUGGGAAUGCAGUCCAAAAUGGGUGGUAAAUUUCAUCUAAAGCUAAAUAUUGGCGAGAGACCGAUAGCGAACAAGUACCGUGAGGGAAAGAUGAAAAGAACUUUGAAAAGAGAGUUAAACAGUACGUGAAAUUGUCAAAAGGGAAGCGUUUGACACCAGUGUUGUUUUUCUGAAAAGUCAAUUAAAGAACUGUUUAUGCUAAGUUGUUUAGACUUUAUCAGCUAACUGUUUAGUUUUGAGCUUUUCUUUAAUGCACUUUUCAGUUAACAAGUCAACAUCAAUUUCUUUUGCUGUAAAAAAGCUUGAGGAAGGUGGCUUGAGAUUCGUCUUAAGUGUCUAUAGCCUCUUGCCUAUGCAGUCGGAGAGAUUGAGGUCUGCAGCGUAGAUCCUUCGGGGCUAAAUGCAUUUGUGCUAAGUUAUAGCAUUUUAUAGACAACUUGUUGACUAUGAUUUGUCUUGUAGCUUACUCGCUUAUGUUAUUUUACCUACGCUUAGGAUGUUGACAGCAGUAUAGACUGU
rnacentral:rRNA from 1 species